GAUGAACGCUGGCGGCGUGCUUAACACAUGCAAGUCGAACGAAGCACCUCUCCCGAAGAUUGACACAGCUUGCUGUAGAUUGAUUCAUUUGAGGUGACUGAGUGGCGGACGGGUGAGUAACGCGUGGGUAACCUGCCUCAUAGAGGGGGACAACAGUUGGAAGCGACUGCUAAUACCGCAUAGUAAGAAGAAUUCGCAUGUUUUCUUCUUGAAAGAUUUAUCGCUAUGAGAUGGACCCGCGUCUGAUUAGCUAGUUGGUAAGGUAACGGCUUACCAAGGCGACGAUCAGUAGCCGGCUUGAGAGAGUGAACGGCCACAUUGGGACUGAGACACGGCCCAAACUCCUACGGGAGGCAGCAGUGGGGAAUAUUGCACAAUGGGGGAAACCCUGAUGCAGCGACGCCGCGUGAGUGAAGAAGUAUUUCGGUAUGUAAAGCUCUAUCAGCAGGGAAGAUAAUGACGGUACCUGACUAAGAAGCCCCGGCUAACUACGUG
rnacentral:rRNA from 1 species